UACGAAGGGGGCUAGCGUUGCUCGGAAUUACUGGGCGUAAAGAGCGCGCAGGCGGUCGAUCAAGUCGCGUGUGAAAGCCCCCGGCUCAACUGGGGAGGGUCACGCGAUACUGAUCGACUCGAAGGCAGGAGAGGGUAGUGGAAUUCCCGGUGUAGUGGUGAAAUGCGUAGAUAUCGGGAGGAACACCAGUGGCGAAGGCGACUACCUGGCCUGUUCUUGACGCUGAGGCGCGAAAGCUAGGGGAGCAAACGGG
rnacentral:rRNA from 1 species